rnacentral:rRNA from 1 species
GACGAACCACCCAAACGUUAUUCGGAAUUACUGGGCUUAAAGGGUGCGUAGGCUGUGCGGAAAGUUGGGUGUGAAAUACCUCAGCUUAACUGAGGAACUGCGCUCAAAACUACCGUGCUCGAGGGAGACAGAGGUGAGCGGAACUUAGGGUGGAGCGGUGAAAUGCGUUGAUAUCCUAAGGAACACCGGUGGCGAAAGCGGCUCACUGGAUCUCUUCUGACGCUGAGGCACGAAAGCUAGGGGAGCAAACGGG